rfam:Saitoella complicata NRRL Y-17804 DNA, contig: contig034, whole genome shotgun sequence.
GGCCUGUUGGCGCAAUGGUUAGCGCAUCCGUUUCCGGUACGGAAGGUUCCCGGUUCAAGUCCGGGGCAGGUCG